UAAGGGCGCACGGUGGAUGCCUUGGCACUAGAAGCCGAUGAAGGACGUUACUAACGACGAUAUGCUUUGGGGAGCUGUAAGUAAGCUUUGAUCCAGAGAUUUCCGAAUGGGGAAACCCAGCAUGAGUUAUGUCAUGUUAUCGAUAUGUGAAUACAUAGCAUAUCAGAAGGCACACCCGGAGAACUGAAACAUCUUAGUACCCGGAGGAAGAGAAAGAAAAUUCGAUUC
rnacentral:rRNA from 1 species